GGCCAUUCUGCUGUACGUAACCUAUAAGAUGCAGAAUCACGGGGAGAGAAUUGAGGGCCCUGGCUGCCCUAACACCGAAACUACUUUGACUCCUCCUGGCCUAGACCUAGGUAUAUUGCCCUCUCAGGAAUUCCAGGCUCUCCUGGAGUCUACUAUGGCCAGCUCGGUCCAGCGAGCCCUGGCAUCGCCCGUUGGGAUAAUGUACUCCUCGAUCUCCCACUCCCUGGCACAAGCACUCCUACAACCCCCAGAGUUACAGCCAACUAUACCGGCCCAGACUGAUACAGCAGUCAGUGCGGCCCGCAAGGCAAAAGCAAAAACUAAACAUACCUCUCCACUCCCACUGAUGCAGGUAUUG